AACUGUGAAUAAAAAAUCCAUUAGCUUGUAUGGGGUGAUUAGGCAAUAGUCAAGGAAGCUCCGGUUAAUAUAAUUAUGUGAGUUGUGAGACUGUGAUGCUUAGGACUGUUCAUUCAAAACCUUGAACUGAACCGAUAAUUUAGGACUGUAAUGGUAAUAUUCAGAAUAUUUUUGUAUUGAAAAGUUGCUUAUUUAGGACUGACUCUGUUAGUCACACAUCUGAAUGUCUAAUUCAUUGGAUUUUUUACAAAAAAAAAAAUGUAUUUACUUCUAGAUAGUUGAUCUGCUCAUUGUUUCUUUUCUUUUUCCAUAGAAUUUUAAUUAUAAUACUUUUAUUUUGCAGAAGAUAAAUAAUGAUGAUAUCGAAGAAGAAAUGCAAGAUCAUGGAGAAGAGGAAGAAGAAGAAGAAGAAGAGCUAGAUGUUUAUGUUUGAUGAUGAAUGCACAUAAUUAUUAAGAUGUUAGUUUCAUUUUGAAGAUGCAUGGUCUAUUUCAUUUUGAAGAUGUUAGUUUGAUUGUGAAUUGAUUGUGAAUGAUUGACAAUAUUAGGAAAACGUUAUGUUGAUCGAUGUUAUUAUUUUGAUAUAUAUAAAUGAUAAUCAUUUUAGUUUAA
rnacentral:lncRNA from 1 species